UACGUAGGGUGCGAGCGUUGUCCGGAAUUAUUGGGCGUAAAGAGCUCGUAGGCGGUGUGUCACGUCGGCCGUGAAAACCUGCAGCUUAACUGUGGGCGUGCGGUCGAUACGGGCAUCACUGGAGUUCGGCAGGGGAGACUGGAAUUCUUGGUGUAGCGGUGAAAUGCGCAGAUAUCAGGAAGAACACCCGUGGCGAAGGCGGCUCUCUGGGACGGUACUGACGCUGAGACGCGAAAGCGUGGGGAGCGAACAGG
rnacentral:rRNA from 1 species